rnacentral:rRNA from 1 species
AACGAACGCUGGCGGCAGGCUUAACACAUGCAAGUCGAGCGCCCCGCAAGGGGAGCGGCAGACGGGUGAGUAACGCGUGGGAAUCUACCCAUCCCUACGGAAUAGCUCCGGGAAACUGGAAUUAAUACCGUAUACGCCCUACGGGGGAAAGAUUUAUCGGGGAGGGAUGAGCCCGCGUUGGAUUAGCUAGUUGGUGGGGUAAAGGCCUACCAAGGCGACGAUCCAUAGCUGGUCUGAGAGGAUGAUCAGCCACAUUGGGACUGAGACACGGCCCAAACUCCUACGGGAGGCAGCAGUGGGGAAGAUUGGACAAUGGGGGCAACCCUGAUCCAGCCAUGCCGCGUGAGUGAUGAAGGCCUUAGGGUUGUAAAGCUCUUUCACCGGGGAAGAUAAUGACGGUACCCGGAGAAGAAGCCCCGGCUAACUUCGUGCCAGCAGCCGCAGUAAGAC